UCGAACGAUGAACUCCAGCUUGCUGGGGGGAUUAGUGGCGAACGGGUGAGUAACACGUGAGUAACCUGCCCUUGACUCUGGGAUAAGCGCUGGAAACGGCGUCUAAUACCGGAUACGAGCUUCAGCCGCAUGGCUAGGAGUUGGAAAGAAUUUCGGUCAAGGAUGGACUCGCGGCCUAUCAGCUAGUUGGUGAGGUAAUGGCUCACCAAGGCGACGACGGGUAGCCGGCCUGAGAGGGUGACCGGCCACACUGGGACUGAGACACGGCCCAGACUCCUACGGGAGGCAGCAGUGGGGAAUAUUGCACAAUGGGCGCAAGCCUGAUGCAGCAACGCCGCGUGAGGGACGACGGCCUUCGGGUUGUAAACCUCUUUUAGUAGGGAAGAAGCGAAAGUGACGGUACCUGCAGAAAAAGCACCGGCUAACUACGUGCCAGCAGCCGCGGUAAUACGUAGGGUGCAAGCGUUGUCCGGAAUUAUUGGGCGUAAAGAGCUCGUAGGCGGUUUGUCGCGUCUGCUGUGAAAUCUGGGGGCUCAACCCCCAGCCUGCAGUGGGUACGGGCAGACUAGAGUGCGGUAGGGGAGAUUGGAAUUCCUGGUGUAGCGGUGGAAUGCGCAGAUAUCAGGAGGAACACCGAUGGCGAAGGCAGAUCUCUGGGCCGUAACUGACGCUGAGGAGCGAAAGCAUGGGGAGCGAACAGGAUUAGAUACCCUGGUAGUCCAUGCCGUAAACGUUGGGAACUAGAUGUGGGGACCAUUCCACGGUCUCCGUGUCGCAGCUAACGCAUUAAGUUCCCCGCCU
rnacentral:rRNA from 6 species